rnacentral:rRNA from 1 species
UAGCACAAGCCAGAGCAAGGAAAGAUUAUCGCUUUGGGAGGGGCUCGCGGCCUAUCAGCUUGUUGGUGAGGUAACGGCUCACCAAGGCUUCGACGGGUAGCUGGUCUGAGAGGACGAUCAGCCACACUGGGACUGAGACACGGCCCAGACUCCUACGGGAGGCAGCAGUGGGGAAUAUUGCGCAAUGGGCGAAAGCCUGACGCAGCAACGCCGCGUGGAGGAUGAAGGCUCUAGGGUCGUAAACUCCUUUCAGCAGGAAAGAAAAUGACGGUACCUGCAGAAGAAGCUCCGGCCAACUACGUG